CCCCCCCCUCGCAUAAAGACGCGUGUCUGAACAGUGGCAUGUGCAGAACUGUACGGCUUUCAAAUCUGACCCCAAAGCAGGAUUGUCCCCUGCCCAUAUGCAACGGCCGACUUUCCAGUCUCCCAAGUUUUCAUCAUAACAAGCCAUGGCCGUCCAACAUACCGUAGUUGUGGCCCAGCCAACAAUGGCCACCUCAUGGCCUCAGAAUCUGAAGACUAAUCAGUGGAGCAGUGGCAUCUGUGACUGUUGUGACGAUAUGGGCAUAUGCUGUCAUGGCUUUUGGUCUCCCUGGACCCUCUCAUGCACCACAACCAGUGACUUUGGAGAGUGUUGCUGUCUCCCCCUGCUGGACUGUUGCGGUGGGGGAAUCAUACCUCCUGUCGCUCUGGCCAUGAGAACCGCUAUGAGGGAGCGGUACAACAUCCAGGGCACGAUGUUUAAUGACUG